CAAGUACUCCAUCCGCCCGGAAUUACUUGUCAUCAAAAUGGAUGUGUCUAGAACUAAAAUACAUCUAGAUACAUCCAUUUCAAUGACAAGUAUUUUCGGACGGAGGGAGUACAAG
rnacentral:pre_miRNA from 1 species